rnacentral:rRNA from 1 species
AGUGAACGCUGGCGGUAGGCCUAACACAUGCAAGUCGAACGGCAGCACAGUAAGAGCUUGCUCUUACGGGUGGCGAGUGGCGGACGGGUGAGGAAUACAUCGGAAUCUACUUUUUCGUGGGGGAUAACGUAGGGAAACUUACGCUAAUACCGCAUACGACCUACGGGUGAAAGCAGGGGAUCUUCGGACCUUGCGCGAUUGAAUGAGCCGAUGUCGGAUUAGCUAGUUGGCGGGGUAAAGGCCCACCAAGGCGACGAUCCGUAGCUGGCCUGAGAGGAUGAUCAGCCACACUGGAACUGAGACACGGUCCAGACUCCUACGGGAGGCAGCAGUGGGGAAUAUUGGACAAUGGGCGCAAGCCUGAUCCAGCCAUACCGCGUGGGUGAAGAAGGCCUUCGGGUUGUAAAGCCCUUUUGUUGGGAAAGAAAAGCAGCAGGUUAAGACCCCGCUGUUCUGACGGUACCCAAAGAAUAAGCACCGGCUAACUUCGU